rnacentral:pre_miRNA from 14 species
GCCUUUUGCUACUUUGUGCAGUCUUCUGUUAGUUUUGCAUAGUUGCACUACAAGAAAAAUGUAGUUGUGCAAAUCUAUGCAAAACUGAUGGCAGCCUGUAUUGGCUGCAGUAGCAAGC